rnacentral:rRNA from 1 species
AUUGAACGCUGGCGGCAGGCCUAACACAUGCAAGUCGAACGAGUGGCGGACGGGUGAGUAAUGUCUGGGAAACUGCCUGAUGGAGGGGGAUAACUACUGGAAACGGUAGCUAAUACCGCAUACCAUCGGAUGUGCCCAGAUGGGAUUAGCUAGUUGGUGGGGUAAAGGCUCACCUAGGCGACGAUCCCUAGCUGGUCUGAGAGGAUGACCAGCCACACUGGAACUGUGACACGGUCCAGACUCCUACGGGGGGCAGCAGUGGGGAAGAUUGCACAAUGGGCGAAAGCCGGAUGCAGCCAGGCCGCGGGUAUGAAGAAGGCCUUCGGGUUUUAAAGUACUUUCAUCGGGGAGGCGUUACCCGCAGAAUAAGCACCGGCUAACUCCGUGCCAGCAGCCGCGGUAAUUC